GACGCGCCGUUCUUCCGUCGGCCAUUUUAGGUGGUCCGCGGCGGCGCCAUUAAAGCGAGGAGGAGGCGAGAGCGGCUGCCGUUGCUUCUUAUUCUUUUUUAGUGCGGCGGACGAGAGUGGGAGUGCGCGCCGCGCGAGAGUGGGAGGCAAGGGGGGCAGGCCGGGGAGAGGCGCAGGAGCCUUUGCAGCCACGCGCGCCUUCUCUGUCUUGUUGUGUGCUUCGCGCGGUAGAGCGGGCGCGCGGCAGCGGCGGGGAUUACUUUGCUGCUAGUUUCGGUUCGCGGUAGCGGCGGGUGUAGUCUCGGCGGCGGCGGAGGCAGUAGCACUAUGUCGGAGGAGCAGUUUGGCGGGGACGGGGCGGCGGCGGCAGCAACAGCGGCGGUAGGCGGCUCGGCGGGCGAACAGGAGGGAGCCAUGGUGGCGGCGGCGCAGGGGGCAGCGGCGGCGGCGGGAAGCGGAGCCGGGACCGGGGGCGGAACCGCGGCCGGAGGCACCGAAGGAGGCAGCGCCGAGUCGGAGGGGGCGAAGAUCGAUGCCAGUAAGAACGAGGAGGAUGAAGGCCAUUCAAACUCCUCCCCACGACACUCUGAAGCAGCGACGGCACAGCGGGAAGAAUGGAAAAUGUUUAUAGGAGGCCUUAGCUGGGACACUACAAAGAAAGAUCUGAAGGACUACUUCUCCAAAUUUGGUGAAGUCGUAGACUGCACUCUGAAGUUAGAUCCUAUCACAGGGCGAUCAAGGGGUUUUGGCUUUGUGCUAUUUAAAGAGUCGGAGAGUGUAGAUAAGGUCAUGGAUCAGAAAGAACAUAAAUUGAAUGGGAAGGUGAUUGAUCCUAAGAGGGCCAAAGCCAUGAAAACAAAAGAGCCUGUUAAAAAAAUUUUUGUUGGUGGCCUUUCUCCAGAUACACCUGAAGAGAAAAUAAGGGAGUACUUUGGUGGUUUUGGUGAGGUUGAAUCCAUAGAGCUCCCCAUGGACAACAAGACCAAUAAGAGGCGUGGAUUCUGCUUUAUUACCUUUAAGGAAGAGGAACCAGUGAAGAAGAUAAUGGAAAAGAAAUACCACAAUGUUGGUCUUAGUAAAUGUGAAAUAAAAGUAGCUAUGUCGAAGGAACAGUAUCAGCAACAGCAACAGUGGGGAUCUAGAGGAGGAUUUGCAGGAAGAGCUCGUGGAAGAGGUGGUGGCCCCAGUCAAAACUGGAACCAGGGAUAUAGUAACUAUUGGAAUCAAGGCUAUGGCAACUAUGGAUAUAACAGCCAAGGUUACGGUGGUUAUGGAGGAUAUGACUACACUGGUUACAACAACUACUAUGGAUAUGGUGAUUAUAGCAACCAGCAGAGUGGUUAUGGGAAAGUAUCCAGGCGAGGUGGUCAUCAAAAUAGCUACAAACCAUACUAAAUUAUUCCAUUUGCAACUUAUCCCCAACAGCGGGAACUUCAUUGCAGGCCCUGUGUCGCGCUGACUUCACGAUUCUCACAGGCCCGCUCAAUGCGGACAGGGUACGAGAUGCUCACGCUCUCGAAUGCUGCCGUUUGGUGGUGAAGCAGUAUUUUCCAAAUUGAAGAUUCAUUUGAAGGUGGCUCCUGCCACCUGCUAAUAGCAGUUCAAACUAAAUUUUUUGUAUCAAGUCCCUGAAUGGAAGUUUGACGUUGGGUCCCUCUGAAGUUUAAUUCUGAGUUCUCAUUAAAAGAAAUUUGCUUUCAUUGUUUUAUUUCUUAAUUGCUAUGCUUCAGAAUCAAUUUGUGUUUUAUGCCCUGCCCUCCCCAGUAUUGUAGAGCAAGUCUCGUGUUAAAAGCCCAGUGUGACAGUGUCAUGAUGUAGUAGUGUCUUACUGGUUUUUUAAUAAAUCCUUUUGUAUAAAAA